rnacentral:rRNA from 1 species
CCUACGGAAGGCAGCAGUAGGGAAUAUUGGACAAUGGGUGCGAGCCUGAUCCAGCCAUGCCGCGUGCAGGAAGAAGGCCUUCUGGGUUGUAAACUGCUUUUGCCGGGGGAUAAAAGACCCAUGCGUGGGGAAUUGAAGGUACCCGGUGAAUAAGCCACGGCUAACUACGUGCCAGCAGCCGCGGUAAUACGUAGGUGGCGAGCGUUGUCCGGAUUUAUUGGGUUUAAAGGGUGCGUAGGCGGCCCCGUAAGUCAGUGGUGAAAUACGGCAGCUCAACUGUCGAGGUGCCAUUGAUACUGCGGGGCUUGAGUACAGUCGAGGUAGGCGGAAUUGACGGUGUAGCGGUGAAAUGCUUAGAUAUCGUCAAGAACACCGAUAGCGAAGGCAGCUUGCUAGGCUGUAACUGACGCUGAGGCACGAAAGUGCGGGGAUCAAACAGGAUUAGAUACCCUGGUAGUCCGCACAGUAAACGAUGGUCACUCGUGUGGUCGGUACGACGCGACGCGCUACGACGAAGACGUAGUAGACCACCGNGGAGUACGCCGCGAGGUAGAACGACAANAGAGUAGACGCGUGAGACGNGCCGACGGACGACGACGAGGGAGGAGG